CAAUGGGCGAAAGCCUGACGGAGCAACGCCGCGUGAGGGAAGAAGGCCUUCGGGUUGUAAACCUCUGUUUUCAGGGAAGAAGAAAGUGACGGUACCUGAAGAGUAAGCCCCGGCUAACUACGUGCCAGCAGCCGCGGUAAAACGUAGGGGGCAAGCGUUGUCCGGAAUUACUGGGCGUAAAGGGCGCGUAGGUGGUUCAUUAAGUUAUAGGUGAAAGUUCGGGGCUCAACCCCGUGAUUGCCUGUGAUACUGGUGGACUUGAGUGCAGGAGAGGGUAGCAGAAUUCCCAGUGUAGCGGUGAAAUGCGUAGAUAUUGGGAGGAAUACCAGUGGCGAAGGCGGCUAUCUGGACUGUAACUGACACUGAGGCACGAAAGCGUGGGGAGCAAACAGGAUUAGAUACCCUGGUAGUCCACGCCGUAAACGAUGAGUGCUAGGUGUUGCGGGUAUCGACCCUGCAGUGCCGUAGUUAACACAAUAAGCACUCCGCCUGGGGAGUACGGU
rnacentral:rRNA from 1 species